rnacentral:rRNA from 1 species
GGGCACCACCAGGGGGUGCUGCUGCGGCUUAUUUGACUCAACACGGGAAAUCUCACCAGGCCCGGACACCGGAAGGAUUGACAGAUUAACAGCUCUUUCUUGAUUCGGUGGGUGGUGGUGCAUGGCCGUUCUUAGUUGGUGGAGCGAUUUGUCUGGUUAAUUCCGGUAACGAACGAGACUCUAGCCUGCUAAAUAGGCGUCGUCAUUUAGGUGUGCUCGGCUUCGGUCGUGCAACUCACUGGCGACGUAUUAAAAUUCUUCUUAGAGGGACCGGUGGCUUCGAGCCACACGAGAUUGAGCAAUAACAGGUCUGUGAUGCCCUUAGAUGUCCUGGGCCGCACGCGCGCUACACUGAAGGAAUCA